AUUCAGCUGAUGAGUUUUCAAUAGAACGAAACAUACGUCCUGAAU
rnacentral:hammerhead_ribozyme from 1 species